rnacentral:lncRNA from 1 species
GCCUGGCUCUGAUCCGCACCCCUCUGGCGAUCCCCGCAGGCAAGAACUCAGGAGGCUGUGGGCUCCUGGGAAGUUUCUGGGCUCCUGGAAAGGCAUCGUAUCCAAACAGGGGCAGCGCCCGCUGCUGCGCUCCUGCUGGCGCGUGCUGCGCAGAGUGAGCGAAGCGACGGACGCGGACCCACCAUCCUAUCACUCCAUGCGCAGCAACUGUGUGCACUUUGCACUGUGUCUGCUCGUCCCAGGUCCCAGCCUGGACCCCCGGCAAAUAGACGGGAGCUCCAGCAGGUGUCAAUGGACGUGGACGUGUCCCCGGAUUAAGCAUGACCUUGGCCCUCCUGGGUGGACGUGGAGGCUUCAGAAAGAUUCAUUAAACUACUUUCCA